GGGCCGGUAACUCAGUGGUAGAGGUUGGUGCACCUGCAACUUAAUAUUUCAGUAACAUGAUCUAAUUCCUUAUAGUGUAGGACUGCAGUUCACCAAAAUUGUCUUCCCGAAGUCACCGGUUCGACUCCGGUUCGGCCCU
rnacentral:tRNA from 1 species